GAUGAAUUUUUAAUUCAUCCCUAAAUAUUGUGAUGAAUUGCAAAUUCAUCCCUAAUUUGGGUUGAAUAUGUAUUUGUCGUAAAUUUGCCAUUAUAAGCUUCCCCAUCCAUUGAACUCCCCGUUUUCCCCUUUUCCCCUUUUCCCCUUUUCCUCCUCUGUCCUUAACUCUACGCUAUUGUUGGUUGAUCUCCAUUUCCCCAUGAGGUGAGGCAAAGCUGUGAGUGCGGUGUUGAGCAGGGACAAAAUGAGGUAAGCCCUAUGGGGCCGCGUAGAUCAGGGCUGGAUUUGUGUCCUAUAGGAUAGGCGACUUUGCCGUCAGAUCUAUCCUACACAACCCUUUGGGGUCGUGUAGUUUCGGCGGUAUAGCCACCGGUAGACCACUGAAUCUGUGUCCUAGAGAGUGGAUCCAGGUUUUGCGCACAUCAAGUUUCACAGAUCUUGCAGCCUUAAGAAAUCAGUAGAUCAAGCGCUAAAUUCGGCAACGAUGUUUGGAAGUGGGAUGGGCAACCUAAUCUACGAGGAGACGUGUGACAUCCUCAAGAUCUUCCUCAAGAAUGUGAUCCCUAACACCGUGACCUACACCGCCAUGGGCAUUGUCUAUACGCUGAAGAGGAAGGGAAGGACCUAUAUCUUCUGCGGCUAAUCAAACAUAAGAUAAGGAAAAGAAGGACAACUACAAAUAUGUUAACCAUAGUUUCAGCUCAUUGAAGUUAAUGCUUAGUGAAUGAGUCGAAUCAUUUUUUUUUUGGUUCUUAGCUAAGAGUUUGUAGAUGAACACUAAUUCUGAAUUAGUUUAUUCUCUAUUGAUGAUUGUAAUAAAGAAGAUUGUAUUGAGAGAUUAUUGAUGCAAUCAUCCUUGGAUCAAGGUUGAUCAAUUUGACUAA